UAAAGUUGCAGACGAGUUUGGUAUUGCUUUAAUUGCAUGAUUCGCAGUGGAUAAAAACAGACGAAUAUAACAAUUCUUGCAAAAUAAUUCACUAAGAUGUGUCACGACGUUACAGCUAUUGAGAAAAAAUAAUUAUCUUAGAUUAAUCUUAUAAUAAUAAUUUACAAUACUAACGACAAGAGAAACAAAACGUAUGCCAAACUUUUCCAAGAGCUAAUUUUUCCUCUGCGAAGUAAACCUCGCGAUUACAACGUGGACAAACUCCAGGCAUUUAUUAAGAAAAUUUGUAUCUUGUUACAUAAAUAAAUAGUAUAUCAUAAAAAUUUUUAUAUGAA